CCCUUAGAUGUUCUGGGCCGCACGCGUGCUACACUGAUGCAUUCAACGAGCCUAUCCUUGACCGACAGGUCCGGGUAAUCUUUGAAUCUGCAUCGUGACGGGGAUAGAUUAUUGCAAUUAUUAAUCUUCAACGAGGAAUGCCUAGUAGGCGCAAGUCAUCAGCUUGCGUCGAUUACGUCCCUGCCCUUUGUACACACCGCCCGUCGCUCCUACCGAUUGAACGGUUUAGUGAGGGCCUCGGAUUGGUCUCGGCCCGCUCUUUACCGGGCGGCGCCGUUGGUCGAGAAGACGCUCGAACUUGAUCGUUUAGAGGAAGUAAAAGUCGUAACA
rnacentral:rRNA from 1 species